GCAGUCUCCAAGAUCCCAUAAAGAACAGAUUUCCACAGAGCAGAGGAGAUGAGCCACCCCAGUGCGGAUUGUUGUGCAUAGACACUGUCUGUCUGUUUCUAUGGAAAAGAAGGAAAGGGGAAAAACAAAAUAACCCACUACCAGCUACCUCAGCAGCUCCUGAGAAAAGCCAGCCUAGGUGAGAAGCUGCACAGCAAGGAUUCACCAUGAAGAGGCAAUCAAGACUUCUUCAGAGGUCAGCCUUGGCUACAAUGUGCGCCAGUGCACUGAACUGAGUAAAGGAUAAGAGUGCAGGAAGAAUGCACAUGACUGSAGCAGUGGGACGCAGUGAGGUUAUGUGACCCCCACUGAAACAGCUCUCAUGCCGUCUCCUUCAUGUUUUGAGGUUUUUUACUGGUGUUAUGAUGCCUGCACUAGAGCAGGGGAAAGUUUUCUUGGAGCUUAAAAAUGUACAGCUGUGAAGAUAUCGAUCAUUCCUGUCUGACAUACAGCUCCGAAGACAAAAAGAGCUCAAAUUCCUUCACCAGAUAACACCAGCUUAGAUGUGUGAGCAACACUCAGCAAACUGACCACAAUAUUAACARUAUAGAGAAGACCCAAUGAAAAAUGAAACUCAGCUGCUGUGUGGUUGUUCCUUGCUCAGCAGUCUGAAGAAGGUGAAAAUAAAGUCUCUCCAGUUUGACAAUUUAUGAWUUUUU